AGCGAGGGACGCACCCACAUCAGCUAGGGUUCCAACCACCGCCGUCCUUCGCCCUCGACCGCCUCCCCUGUUCCCUCGGUACGUUCAAGAGCCUCCGCCAAGCCCUCCUUCCUCACCACUUUCUCCGUGCGUUGGGGACGCACUCGACGUCGUCGCUCAUCCUCCUCGCAUUGGGGAACGCAUCGCCGCCGUUGUUUCAUCCGCAUGACCGGAGAUACAGAUGCCGGCGUUGUUCCUCCACAGUCCACAUAGCAAGGAACGACGCAAGCACCGACACCCCAAUCUUCGUCAACUGCAGUAAUUCAGCAGGUCCUAUUCUGCCUCCCCUGCAUCUGUAUUUGUAUUCUGUAAAAGUAAUAUUCCCCGCUGUCCUCGCCCAGCCUUGUUUCUCCUUGCCGGCCGCAUCUUACAAGUUACAGCACCAAUGGACCGCAUCCUCAUUGAGGAUUUUCCUUGCCUGCGCAGCUGCACAUGCUGAUUUCAAACCUACCAUGAUUUCCUAUUUUACGCGCAUCACUGAAGGGAACCGUUUACUGACACAUAAGUUUCUUGUUGAAAUAAAUGGCGGAUUCUUCUACCGAAACGUUGAACAAGAGAUGAUUUCUGCAGAGACAACAAGUUCAGAACCUGUUUGCUAAGGAAAUGACCAUAAUUUCGUGAUCAACCCAAAAGGCAUUUGAUCACCCAGGCAGAGUUGGGGUAACCAAUUCUUAGUUGUUACUUCAUGAUGGUUCUAAUGCACUUACAUUCAACCUUGAUCUGUUUUGGGUUCCAGUUUAGUUAAGAACAUGUGUCAUGAUUUAACCAACUGAACUUCGAACACAGAAGUUGUUUGAGAUUAUUCGUAUAUAUACUACUUUUAAGCGUCAUAAUAAUCAGUUAAGUGUAAGACAAAAACCAUGUAGAAAAGCAAGUUCGACAACCUUUUUCACCAGGCUUAUACCUGAACAGCUGAUGCAUGUGCAUAUGGUAUGUAAUUGUAGUAAGACGGGAACAUGCCGAUUGAUGUUUCAAGUGAUGACAAUGCAUAGGGCCUGGAGGCGUGGUUCGAUGCGGCAGUUAACAAUCAUGCAAUUCUCAGGAAGAAUGAUUUUGUACCUUUUUACUCAAUACUCAUUUCUUGUGAUGCAUUAGGUUUUAAUUUUCCUGCUGCUAUGUGUGUGGAUCAAUCCUUACUGAUUUUCUUGCCGCUUGUGGUCUGAGUCCUUAUCUCUGCUCGGGGUGACGCUGCAAGAUCGGACGGAAACCAGACUUCUUAUGGUUCUGAGAAUUUUAUUCAUGGAUCAGGAAAUUCUAAUGUGUGACUUUGUAGUACUCAGAUUACCAAGGUAAAUUGAGGAUGCAUGACUCAGAUUUUGAUUGCAAGGCUAAGAAGAUUUUGAUUCUGAGGCAAACAGUUGGGCUACAACAAGACAAUUAGAAUGUAAUUUUUAGUAUCAAUGUUUCAAACAUUAUAGUUGAUUGCAAGGUCAAGAAUUGGCCUACUACUAGAUAGGUUCACCUCUUGUAAUCUUUGGACCAUGU